CUAAAAGAUUGUAAAUGCACCAAUCAGUGCUCUGUGUCUAGAUAAGGUUCGUAAAUGCACCAAUCAGCACUCUGUGUCUAACUAAUUGGUUGGGGACUUGGAGGACUUUUCUCUCUAGCUAAAGGAUUGUAAAUGUACCAAUCAGUGCUCUGUGUCUAGCUAAAGGUUUGUAAACACACCAAUAAGCACUCUGUAAAAAUGCACCAAUCAGCACUCUGUGUCUAGCUAAAGGUUUGUAAAUGCACCAAUCAGCACUCUGUAAAAACGGACCAAUCAGUGCUCUGUAAAAUGGAACAAUCAGCACUCUGUAAAAUGGACUAAUCAGAGCUCUGUGAAAUGGACCAAUCAGCAGGAUGUGGGCGGGGCCAAAUAAGGGAAUAAAAGCUGGCCACCCAAGCCAGCCCCAGCAACCUGCUUGGGUCAUCUUCCGUGCUGUGGAAUCUUUGUUCUUUUGAUCUUCACAGUGAAUCUUGCUGCUGCUCACUCAUUGGGUGUGCACUACCUUUAUGAGCUGUAACACUCACCAUGAAGGUCUGCAACUUCACACCUGAAGCCAGCGAGACCAUAAACCCACCAGGAGGAGCGAACAACUCUGGAGGCGCCACCUUUAAGAGGUGCAACACUCACUGUGAAGGUCUGCGGCUUCACUCCUGAAGUCAGCAAGACCACGAACCCACUAGAAGGAAUAAACUCCAGACACAUCUGAACAUCUGAAGGAACAAACUCUGGACACACCAUCUGUAAGAACUUUCUCACUGCGAGGGUCUGCAGCUUCAUUCUUGAAGUCAGUGAGACCAAGAACCUGCUGGAAGGAACCAAUUCCAGACACAAGAGGAUUUUUGUCACCUGGCUAGAGCUUGGUCGAGGAGAUGAUCUUUGUCACCUGGCUAGAGUUUGUUGGAGGAGAGGAUCUUUGUCACCUGGUUAGAGCUUGGUUGAGGAGAGGAUCUUUGUCACCUAGGAAACAGUCACAGCUGAUGUUGCAGAUGAAGAAUUACUUCAAGAAGGGCCAGACCUGGGACUGCUCUACACAAAAGCAAAUUGUUCCAAGAUUCUUGUCACAGUAAGUUGGUUUUGCCUGCUUUUGAGCUUUAGAUGAAAGAAAUGACAUAGACGUUCUGUUUGGCUUUCUGCUCGGAUUAGUGUUUGUGGGAUUCAUUCAUAUUGUUGUGUGUUAUGAUGGACAAAAAAAUUAAGUUCCCUGGAAGCAACAGGAACAGGCCUCAGUGUCAGAACUGCAGAUGGUGGGGUGCGAUUCCCACAGCCGCC
rnacentral:lncRNA from 1 species